AGGAAAUUAACAUGGGUUAAAGAAAGCCCCAUCUUUAUUCCACCCCGGCCCAGCAGUAGUACGUAAAACCAGAUCCAACACAACCCAAGUCCUAGGACCUGAACAACCCACCUAUGAGCAGCCAAACCGACAAAGAAGCAAAGUAGCUCGCCGAAACCUGGGCUCUAGUACCAGGCAACGACCAAAGAUGCAAAUCGUCGCACUCAGUAGAAGUGAGAAGAAGCUUCCAUCAAAGGUAGAAAUUCGUGAACAACAUCAAAGCCUUUUCCCCACAAGAAAGGAACAUCUCGAGCCAAGAUAGGGCCGAAAGACAAGUUCAUCCGGGUGACAGGUAGAACUCCGUAAGUCUUUCUAUUUUGAUCAUUUGAGGAAUUGAAAGCUUUAAGUAAGCGUUGGUCACGUCUCCCGGAGAUAGCAUGCUCAUAAAUUGAACCCUGAAAAAAUAGAUCAACAAAUCCAUAGGCUAGGAACACCCACCUCACCAGUCAUCACCCUUCGUAGCCAUAAAGCUUUAGGUAGGAGUGAAGAACAGACAUGUGAAUGAAGAACAACCUGCAAAUCAAAUCACAAGAGAUUCAAAAAUAUGGGGAGGGAGAAACCCACUCUUAAGCAAGGGAAGAGGAAGCCAUCCCACCCAAAUGAGACAAAGGAAAGCCGCCCUCGACAAUGGGAAGGCUGAAAACCUCACCAAAAGACGAGUUGAUAGGAAAUUCUCUCUUUCUAAAGAGAGAGAGAGAGAUUAGAACCUAGUAGGCAGGCUAAUUUACGUUAGGACAGAAUUUUAGGCAUCUUUUAAAUAAUUAGCCUGGCAAGUUGGCUAUCAUUCUCCAGUUGGGUGGACAGACGAAAAUUGAAAUCUCAACCACUUUUAAUUUGCCAUUUGUAGAGCACUGAUCACUGAUAUGGAUCAGGGAAAAAGGCAUGAUCCCAAAAGUCAAGAACACCGAAAAAGAAGAGACAGAAACUAGCUAGGUGCCUAGGAAGUAGAAUGUAAAGACAAGGAGACAGCUAUACAUCAUCUUUUCAAGUCGAAAAUAUUUCUCCUAUGGACAUGGCCGUCAUCCUGGACUUCUCUUCGUGUUAGCAUCCCAAGUAUAUUCCCCAGAAAUUCCAGAGCAUUCAUAUUGCUGAUUAGAGGAGAAUUAAUAUGUUAAUUAGCUUAUAAGGUCUUGUUAAUUACAUUUGAUUGCAAGGGUUUAUGUUAGUAUUAAUUAGUCCUUGCACUAGGUUCCAACAAAAAUGCAUAUUUUUUUCUCACCAUUUGAUAUUAUAAAUCCUUUUAUAAUCACGACAAGAAAACAACAAAAAUGAUUUGCAUGCGACACCACAUAAGAUACUGUUACCUUAAUUUAUAAUAAAAUGACCAGCCAGACGAUACUUAAUUGCAAGUUCG
rnacentral:misc_RNA from 1 species